AGCUUGCUCUUAUGAAGUUAGCGGCGGACGGGUGAGUAACACGUGGGUAACCUGCCCAUAAGACUGGGAUAACUCCGGGAAACCGGGGCUAAUACCGGAUAACAUUUUGAACUGCAUGGUUCGAAAUUGAAAGGCGGCUUCGGCUGUCACUUAUGGAUGGACCCGCGUCGCAUUAGCUAGUUGGUGAGGUAACGGCUCACCAAGGCAACGAUGCGUAGCCGACCUGAGAGGGUGAUCGGCCACACUGGGACUGAGACACGGCCCAGACUCCUACGGGAGGCAGCAGUAGGGAAUCUUCCGCAAUGGACGAAAGUCUGACGGAGCAACGCCGCGUGAGUGAUGAAGGCUUUCGGGUCGUAAAACUCUGUUGUUAGGGAAGAACAAGUGCUAGUUGAAUAAGCUGGCACCUUGACGGUACCUAACCAGAAAGCCACGGCUAACUACGUGCCAGCAGCCGCGGUAAUACGUAGGUGGCAAGCGUUAUCCGGAAUUAUUGGGCGUAAAGCGCGCGCAGGUGGUUUCUUAAGUCUGAUGUGAAAGCCCACGGCUCAACCGUGGAGGGUCAUUGGAAACUGGGAGACUUGAGUGCAGAAGAGGAAAGUGGAAUUCCAUGUGUAGCGGUGAAAUGCGUAGAGAUAUGGAGGAACACCAGUGGCGAAGGCGACUUUCUGGUCUGUAACUGACACUGAGGCGCGAAAGCGUGGGGAGCAAACAGGAUUAGAUACCCUG
rnacentral:rRNA from 1 species